rnacentral:rRNA from 1 species
GCAUAACGCGAAGAACCUUACCUGGCCUUGACAUUGAUAGAAUCUGCUAGAGAUAGCGGAGUGCCCUUCGGGAGGCUUGAAACAAGGUGCUGCACGGCUGUCGUCAGCUCGUGUCGUGAGAUGUUGGGUUAAGUCCCGCAACGAGCGCAACCCUCGUCACUAGUUACUAACGGUUCGGCCGAGGACUCUAGUGAGACUGCCUUCGUAAGGAGGAGGAAGGUGAGGACGACGUCAAGUCAUCAUGGCCCUUACGGCCAGGGCGACACACGUGCUACAAUGGGAUGUACAAUGAGACGCAAUACCGCGAGGUGGAGCAAAUCUAUAAAACAUCUCUCAGUUCGGAUUGUAGUCUGCAACUCGACUACAUGAAGCUGGAAUCACUAGUAAUCGUAGAUCAGCCAUGCUACGGUGAAUACGUUCCCGGGU